rnacentral:rRNA from 1 species
GCUUAUACUCGACCGUCGGCGGCAGGAGCGACGGGCGUCGUCUCUCUCGCGGGAGGCGACCCCGUCACCAGGCCCCGACGAGUAGGAGGGUCGCGGCGGUGCGCGCAGAAGGGCUGGCCGCGAGGCCGUCUGGAGCCGCCGUCGGUGCAGAUCUUGGUGGUAGUAGCAAAUACUCCAGCGAGGCCCUGGAGGACUGACGUGGAGAAGGGUUUCGUGUGAACAGCCGUUGCACACGAGUCAGUCGAUCCUAAGCCCUAGGCGAAAGCCGAUGUCGAUGCGGUGUAGAUUUCGCACGUGUGAUAUAUAUAUACGAUCGAUCUCUAGCACACACCCGUCGGGCGAAAGGGAAUCCGGUUCCUAUUCCGGAACCCGGCAGCGGAACCGUCAAUAAGUCGGGC